rnacentral:lncRNA from 1 species
GAUAAUCCAAAACGUAGCGGUACCAAACAAUGGGUAGUGAUAGUGUGACUAGUUGCUGAUGAUCCCCGAGCCUGUAGCUUCCAAAUGAGAUCUAUAAAACAGAGGAAACAGAGUAAACGGAGUAAGCAUUACAAUGCUUAGUAAGUUUUAAGCAGUGUCAACAGAUAACAAUCAAAUUAUAACAUAGUUGUUCGUAUUUUUUUAUUUCACUCUUCCUUCGGGCAUACCAUCCCUUUACCGAAUAUGCACAUCUCAUCAUAUACAAUAGGCAGAUAAACUUUCACAUAAAAGUGAGCUCAUGUGACAUAGAUAUAUCGUAUGCAUCACAUAACUACCUUAUGAUUUAGUGCAAAUCAAGCUCGCAUAUAAACUUGGAGUACAUACCUGUUUAACCUUUCGCAUUGAAUAUAUUUAUAAGCAAUUCUUAUUACGAAGUCUUACUCGGACAAAAUCCCCACACGUAGUCGUCGGGUCUUUAGAGCUCGGAUAUAGUACGAUCACGAAGCUUACGGACAUUAAUCAGUGAUAAUAUUCUCGCAUAAAGCCUGCGGGGUUUUA